GACUCGGUGGCGGAUGGACCGCGCCCGUUGUUCAUGGCCGACAAACGCGUGAUUUGGUGGGAGGCGCCUGUUCGAAUCAGGCCCGAGUCG